AACUCUAGCGAGCCAAUAAAUUGUGCCAGAUUUUUCUGAUUGAUUCCGUAUCAAUCAACGUGUAUAAAAACGAUGAAGAUUAGUUAGUCGGCAACUUUUUUGGAGAGAGAACAUCGUGGCUGGUGACUUUUUUGUGUUGAACUUGACCUUGACUUUUGUGUGUGUUGAACGUGACCUAAAUUAUUUGCUAUGGGCUGUGGAUCGUCAACAAUGAAGGCUUUGGGCUGUCACCCAGGUAAAGGUCACGGCAAUGGUGGAGGUCAUGGCCACGGACGCCGAGGUUCAAACGACUCCAAGGGAAGUCACGGACGGGGUCAUGGCCACGGUCGUAAGGGCAGCAAAUAGAGGCUCCCCGCACAACUUUUGUGUGACGUCCUGCGCAGGUUGAAUGUGUCGUCAUGUCCGGUCACUGAACCAAUCAUCAAGUCUUUGACCCAUUUCAUUCAUCACAUAACGAUGUCGCGAGUGUGCUACAAGAAUUUGUGUGUGAAAAGGUGGUUGUCUAACGAGUAACAGAUAUUCAUGUUAAAUGAACUUUGUAGAGCUUUUACAUGAAAAAGACAAAAGUAUUAACUUGUGUAGAAUACACUUUUGUAAUUACUGUUUGUAUAUAUUUAAAAUGUAAUAAACAUUUUCAAACCA